ACACGCUGGUGGCGUGCUUAACACAUGCAGUCGAGCGCGGUGGGCGCGUUGUCGGGUGGUCUGCUGAGCGGCGAACGGGUGAGUAACACGUGAGUGAUCUUCCUUCGGCUCUGGGAUAACCUUGGGAAACUGAGGCUAAUACCGGAUGGUCAUCUGCUGGGCGAUCUUGGUGGUGGAAAGGUUUCGUGCUGUGAGGUGCGUUUCUGGCUGUUGAUGAGCUCGCGGCCUAUCAGCUUGUUGGUGCGGUAAGGGCGUACCAAGGCGACGACGGGUAGCCGGCCUGAGAGGGUGACCGGUCACACUGGGACUGAGAUACGGCCCAGACUCCUACGGGAGGCAGCAGUGGGGAAUCUUGCGCAAUGGGCGGAAGCCUGACGCAGCAACGCCACGUGGGGGAUGACGGCCUUCGGGUUGUAAACCUCUUUCGGCCUUGACGAAGGCAUCCUUUGUGGGGUGUGGACGGUAGGGGCAGAAGAAGCACCGGCUAACUACGUG
rnacentral:rRNA from 1 species